GGCACUCACUCUUCGUUCUCUCGAGCAGCAGCACUCGGAGCCCCCACCGACCCAGCCACCAUGAUCAAGGUUCUGAUCCUCCUCGCCGUGCUGGCCCUCUUCGCUGUCUCGUACGCUGUGGCCAAGCCACAGUACUACGUCGCAGACAGCCUGUACUACGGGUACCCAUAUGCCGGCUACUACGGCGCCUACUACCCUCACUACUACUACGGUCGCUAAGCCUGUUCUCAAACUCGCGCCCCGACAUUUCAUGGUCACUUCUCCGAAAGCAACCUCAACUCGCUAACACAUUCUACUGUUCACUGCCUCUGGCACUCUUGAAGAAAUGCCUAGUCAUUCCGCCCCAUUGAUCUUCAAGCCACUCGUGCUCGGGCCCGAGCUCCCAUGCUUUCCACUAGAACACAUCCCAUGAUGCUCCCUGUUUUAACACCGGGCUUUCUUCAAUCUGGUCACUUGGGUUUGAAAUAACAAUAAAAAACAUUCUAACCAUA